AGGAGCUUAGGAUAAUUUAAACCAAGAGCCUUCAAAGUUCUAAAUAGGGAAUAAACCCCCUAGCUCCUG
rnacentral:tRNA from 1 species